UUUCAGACAUAAAGCUGAAAA
rnacentral:piRNA from 1 species